AUACGUAGGGAGCGAGCGUUGUCCGGAAUUACUGGGCGUAAAGAGCUCGUAGGUGGUUUGUCGCGUCGUCUGUGAAAUUCCGGGGCUUAACUCCGGGCGUGCAGGCGAUACGGGCAUAACUUGAGUACUGUAGGGGAGACUGGAAUUCCAGGUGUAGCGGUGAAAUGCGCAGAUAUCAGGAGGAACACCGGUGGCGAAGGCGGGUCUCUGGGCAGUAACUGACGCUGAGGAGCGAAAGCAUGGGUAGCGAACAGGAUUAGAUACCCUGGUAGUCCAUGCCGUAAACGGUGGGCGCUAGGUGUAGGGGUCUUCCACGACUUCUGUGCCGUAGCUAACGCAUUAAGCGCCCCGCCUGGGGAGUACGGCCGCAAGGCUAAAACUCAAAUGAAUUGACGGGG
rnacentral:rRNA from 1 species